ACCAAUCUCUCCUCUCUUGAUUAUUCAAGUAGCGACGCAGUGGCACAGUAGGUAGUGCUGUCACCUCACAGCAAGAAGGUUGCUGGUUCGAGCCUCGGCUGGUUCAGUUGGCUGGAUACAAUGGCAUAAUGAUUCUGCUUGCUCACAGGAGCUCAGAUUGUGAUGGACCUGGAAUGUGACACCAGAUACUCUUAAGUCAAGAACCAAAUAAAGCACAGAUGUGGAAGGAUCUGCAACUAAACUAACUGGAGGAAAGGAACCUUUAGUGUGGGUGAACAUACUACCUUGAUGUCCAGCAAAGGCUGCACAAGAGCUCAUUUGAUGGCACAUAUUCUGUCCUGUCUACAUCUCUGAC
rnacentral:lncRNA from 1 species